rnacentral:rRNA from 2 species
UACGGAGGGUGCAAGCGUUGUCCGGAUUUAUUGGGUUUAAAGGGUGCGUAGGUGGCCCUGCAAGUCCGUGGUGAAAGCCUGCUGCUCAACAGCAGAACUGCCAUGGAUACUACAGGGCUUGAGUCCAGACGAGGUUGGCGGAAUGGAUGGUGUAGCGGUGAAAUGCAUAGAUACCAUCCAGAACCCCGAUUGCGUAGGCAGCUGACUAGGCUGGUACUGACACUGAGGCACGAAAGCGUGGGGAGCGAACAGG